rnacentral:rRNA from 1 species
CCUACGGGAGGCAGCAGUGAGGAAUAUUGGACAAUGGACGAGAGUCUGAUGGAGCAACGCCGCGUGCAGGAUGAAGGCCUUCGGGUUGUAAACUGCUUUUAUAAGCGAGAAAUAUGAUGGUAACUUAUGAAUAAGGAUCGGCUAACUACGGGCCAGCAGCCGCGGUCAUACGUAGGAGCCGAGCAUUAUCCGGAGUGACUGGGUGUAAAGAGUUGCGUAGGUGGCAUAAUAAGUAGCUAGUGAAAUCUGGUGGCUCAACCAUUCCGACUAUUAGCGAAACUGUUAAGCUCGAGACCGUUAGGGGUAGCUGGAAUUUCUGGUGUAGGGGUGAAAUGCGUAGAUAUUAGGAGGAACACCUAUGGCGUAGGCAGGUUACUGGGACGGUUCUGACACUGAGGCACGAAAGCGUAGGGAGCAAACAGGAUUAGAUACCCGAGUAGUC